AUGGAUCACAUGAUGCAUCUUGACCAGCACCAGCAAUGUGGCGACCAACGAGACGCCACAAUGGCUACUGCUGGCACGCGCAGCAGCGCUAGUGCCAGUGUCUCGCAGGUCGCCUUCGUGCUCAUUGCAGUUGCUUUCAUCUCCCUCUUCUCGUCCUCCUUCUUGGGCGGCGCCGCCGCUGCCGGGGCUUCUUCUUCCUCUCUCCCUUCCGGCGCCGCCCUAUCUGCUCGCCUUGCGGCCUUGUGCGGCUUUGUCACCACCAAGAAGGCGCUCUUCGUCCUUUCCAACGCCAUCUUCCUCUUCCUCGCCGCCGACUGCCGCUGCUUCUUCCCUGGUGUCUCCAGCAUGGCCACCCCAUCCAUGAAUGACGACGAUGUCGUCACGGCUUCCAGACUGCCGCCAUGUGCCGUUGAAGCUCGACCAUGUUCUUCUUAUUCAGGGAACCUUUACUACUGCUAUAGCAACACCGAAGGUGUAUCAGCGAAUUGUUCGGGACAGCAAGGGAAACGAGCAGAGGUGCCGGAGUCGGCUGGGCUCCACGGAGGAGAAGCGAAUGUCACCUUGGAGACGGUUGUCAUCGUGGAGGAGCCAACCCGCGGUGGAGAAGCUCAUGAGGAGGAGCUAGAGAAGCUAGAGAUGGACGAGCUCAACAGGAAGUUUGAGGACUUCAUCCAAAGCAGAAGGGUUAAAUGGCUCAGGGAGGAGGAGCAAGUAUUGCAAUGCCAACAGCAACAGGUGGUCUGA
rnacentral:rRNA from 1 species